rfam:Alligator mississippiensis ScZkoYb_1069.2, whole genome shotgun sequence.
GGCCCCAUAGCACAAUGGUAGUGCAUCUGACUCCAGAUCAGAAGGUUGUGUGUUCAAGUCAUACUGGGGUCA